UCCUACGGAGGCAGCAGUGGGGAAUAUUGGACAAUGGGCGAAAGCCUGAUCCAGCAAUGCCGCGUGAGUGAUGAAGGCCCUAGGGUUGUAAAGCUCUUUUACCCGGGAUGAUAAUGACAGUACCGGGAGAAUAAGCUCCGGCUAACUCCGUGCCAGCAGCCGCGGUAAUA
rnacentral:rRNA from 1 species